rnacentral:rRNA from 1 species
UGCAUAUCAUAAGCGGAGGAAAAGAAACCAACAGGGAUUCCCUUAGUAACGGCGAGUGAACCGGGAAAAGCUCAAAUUUGAAAUCUGCCAACAGGCCGAGUUGUAAUUUGUAGAUGGCUACACUGCAUAAUAGUAGAUGCUCAAGUUCUUUGGAAAAAGACAUCAUGGAGGGUGACAAUCCCGUGAGGCAUGUUACUAGGAGCAUAUAGUGGGCUUUCUAAGAGUCGAGUUGUUUGGGAAUGCAGCUCAAAGUGCGUGGUGAAUACCAUGUAAAGCUAAAUAUGGACGAGAGACCGAUAGCGAACAAGUACUGUGAAGGAAAGAUGAAAAGCACUCCGAAAGGAGAGUGAAAUAGUACGUGAAAUUGUUAAAGUGGAAGGGCUUGAGAUCAGAAUUGGUAGUUUGGGUUCCACGUCCUCUUGGGGGCGUGUACUCCCUUUCCACCGGGCCAGCGGGAGUUUCGUCUCUUGGGUAAAAGCAGUGGAAUGUAGCAGCUUGUCUGUAUUAUAGCCUCUGUUCAUACAAGACGUCGAGAC